rnacentral:rRNA from 1 species
GUGGGGAAUCUUCCGCAAUGGACGAAAGUCUGUCGGAGCAACGCCGCGUGAACGAUGACGGCCUUCGGGUUGUAAAGUUCUGUUAUACGGGACGAAUGGUGCGACGGCCAAUACCCGUCGUAAGUGACGGUACCGUAAGAGAAAGCCACGGCUAACUACGUGCCAGCAGCCGCGGUAAUACGUAGGUGGCAAGCGUUGUCCGGAAUUAUUGGGCGUAAAGGGCGCGCAGGCGGCGUCGUAAGUCGGUCUUAAAAGUGCGGGGCUUAACCCCGUGAGGGGACCGAAACUGCGAUGCUAGAGUAUCGGAGAGGAAAGCGGAAUUCCUAGUGUAGCGGUGAAAUGCGUAGAUAUUAGGAGGAACACCAGUGGCGAAAGCGGCUUUCUGGACGACAACUGACGCUGAGGCGCGAAAGCCAGGGGAGCAAACGGGAUUAGAAACCCCGGUAGUCC